GAUGAACGCUGGCGGCGUGCCUAAUACAUGCAAGUCGAGCGAACAGACGAGGAGCUUGCUCCUCUGACGUUAGCGGCGGACGGGUGAGUAACACGUGGAUAACCUACCUAUAAGACUGGGAUAACUUCGGGAAACCGGAGCUAAUACCGGAUAAUAUAUUGAACCGCAUGGUUCAAUAGUGAAAGACGGUUUUGCUGUCACUUAUAGAUGGAUCCGCGUCGCAUUAGCUAGUUGGUAAGGUAACGGCUUACCAAGGCAACGAUGCGUAGCCGACCUGAGAGGGUGAUCGGCCACACUGGAACUGAGACACGGUCCAGACUCCUACGGGAGGCAGCAGUAGGGAAUCUUCCGCAAUGGGCGAAAGCCUGACGGGGCAACGCCGCGUGAGUGAUGAAGGUCUUCGGAUCGUAAAACUCUGUUAUUAGGGAAGAACAAAUGUGUAAGUAACUAUGCACGUCCUGACGGUACCUAAUCAGAAAGCCACGGCUAGCUACGUG
rnacentral:rRNA from 1 species